GUGUGGGAGUCCCUGCUGCACUCAGGCAUCCCACUCAAGCUGAGGAAAGAGGUGCAAGAGGCAGCCUCUGCCCUCGAGGACCUUGUCUGCGGCCCUCAAGUAAUCACAGUACAAUAGGGUGGAUGCUGCAAGGUGCAGCCGCUCCGGGAGCCCGAGGGAGGAAGGAGAGGCCUGUCUAGACGACCCAGGGGGGUUCAGCAGGACUGAAUCAUGAACCUGGCCUUGAACGGGGAGCCCUGAUCAGCUGGCGAUGGUGGAGGGCCUCCUGGGUGGAGAGAGUGGGCUUGGGGGAUCCCAGCAGGUCCUUCCCACCCCGCCCGCCAGCCCCGGCCUGCGGUUCAAUUCUCUGCAAGAACCAUUUUCAACGGACCCCUGAUUCCACAUCCUCUCUUAACCUAGGAACUUAGUUCAUCCUUUUCCUGAAGCAACCAAGAGACAUUUACAGAACCCUAAGGAGCCACUGGGAGCCCCAAGAGCACCCCACAGUUUGCAUGAGGCUCCCUGAAGCAAUUUUUUUCUCAAGCAGUGAGCAGCUGGGCAUGAGGAAGAUGAUCCCAUUUAGAAGGCCCCAGAAAAUUCAGGAAGAAUCUAGAAUUACUCAACAGGACAAUUGUGAAGGAAGAGAGCUUUGGCCCUCCAAGAAAGUGCCAGUGGAAAAAAUCCAGGACCAUUUCAGUAUUGAGCAGAUGUUCCAACAGGGAAGGAAGCCCUCAACACAGACCUUUCUGUAACAGCAGCCACCCCUCUCCCUCCCAGCCUCAUACCUAACCUCUCGGCCAUGACACCCAUAGACCUAGUGCAGGACUCCAGCCACUGACAGCAGGAAAGGCAGAGUGUCACCUUGCCAGCUAAGAAAGAUCCUUCUGGCUGGGCUGGGGAGGCACCUACGCAGCUGGGAUUAGGAGGCCACCUAUCUAGAAGACAG
rnacentral:lncRNA from 1 species